rnacentral:rRNA from 1 species
UGGGGAAUAUUGGACAAUGGGCGAAAGCCUGAUCCAGCCAUGCCGCGUGUGUGAAGAAGGUCUUCGGAUUGUAAAGCACUUUAAGUUGGGAGGAAGGGCAGUAAAUUAAUACUUUGCUGUUUUGACGUUACCGACAGAAUAAGCACCGGCUAACUCUGUGCCAGCAGCCGCGGUAAUACAGAGGGUGCAAGCGUUAAUCGGAAUUACUGGGCGUAAAGCGCGCGUAGGUGGUUCGUUAAGUUGGAUGUGAAAUCCCCGGGCUCAACCUGGGAACUGCAUUCAAAACUGACGAGCUAGAGUAUGGUAGAGGGUGGUGGAAUUUCCUGUGUAGCGGUGAAAUGCGUAGAUAUAGGAAGGAACACCAGUGGCGAAGGCGACCACCUGGACUGAUACUGACACUGAGGUGCGAAAGCGUGGGGGAGCAAAACAGGAUUAGAUACCCUGGUAGUCCACGCCGUAAACGAUGUCAACUAGCCGUUGGGAGCCUUGAGCUCUUAGUGGCGCAGCUAACGCAUUAAGUUGACCGCCUGGGGAGUACGGCCGCAAGGUUAAAAC